rnacentral:lncRNA from 1 species
UUAAAGUUUCAGCCCAUUUUGAGACACCUUAGCCUAUAAAUAAAGGUGUUCUCCAUCAUGUAAUCACCUUGGAAAUUAUAGUAAAGUUAUGCUGCCAUUUUGAGCACACAACCUCUUCUAAGGUCACCCUAGGCUAGAGCAACCCAAGUGGCCUCCUCUAGCCACCUUCCUCCAAGAGUUGGCCCAACCUCUCUUAGAGAACCCUAAAACACUUCAUCUUUCACCAUUAAACACACCAAAACCGUGAGCCUUCCAUCUUCAUCCACCACCAUUCCGCAAACCAUCAUAAAAACCAUGAGCAUCUUGAGUAACUGGCUUGAUUGCUUUUAGAUUUGGCUUGUCCUAGCUAGAGCAUUGCCAUCAUUUGGUAUCAAGAGCCUUGGUUCUUCAAAGAGCUAAGUUUCUUGGUUUUGAUCCUUUGUUAUUUCCUUGUUGUUUAUUGUUUUCCUUACUUGUCUUGUUGUGUUUCUUUUUCCAUCUAUCAUUUUGUUUUUCUGGCAGUAAACUGGGACGAUUUUGAAACUUAAACUUCAUCUAUCCCAGUUGUCCAAAAAAUUCGUAAAAAUACUCAAAUGAAAGCCCUUUGAGUCUAGUUUCAAACAAAAAACAAAUCAAUUCAUUUGGACUUCUUUAGAGAAAUUUAUGAGUAAAACACUAAGCAAAGGUCAAUGCUGCCAGAAUGUUGUCAUUAGUGUUUUCCAAGUUAUCUUUUGUUAGUUUUUGUUACUGUUUUGUGCCUUUUCUUUUCUUGAGUCAUUCCUUACUGUUCUUUUGGGUCUUUUAUUGAUUUAUAUUUGGUGCAUUUCAUUGAUUGAGUCAUUUUAAUCUUUUAAUCCAUCCAUGUUUGUCUAGAGUCAUGUGUAGUACUUUUUAGUCAAUUUUCUCUAGUAACUUUGAAAAAUCAUCAAAAAAAAUAUAUAACAUAGUUUGCAAAACUGCACCAUAUACAACUAUUUGAGGGUCUUAUGUUUGAUGUUUUGGGUUCAUACUUGCCACUAGAUCAUUGGCAAGCUCUUAAAAAAAAUUUUCCCUAUUGAUGUUUCUAGUUUUCAACUCCAUUUUUAAUUCUAGUAGGAUUCUUCUAUUUUGUGUUUCUUGUCUUUGUCACUUUUAAAACCCAUAAAUCACCUCUGUUCCAAAUGUUUGGUGGUCUUAUUUUGCACCUUAAUAGAGUGGAAAAAUGAGUGCUAAAAGCUUUUAAGCAAAAGGCCUCAAAAGAGUACCAAAAGAGAGUCUAAAAGGUGCUGAAAAAAAUAUUGUGUGCUUAGACCACUACCAUUGUUUUUGUGCAAUCUAUUUUGGAACGUGUUUUGCUUACUGUUUUGGGUAUUUAUCUUCACUUUCCAGUGGCUAAAAGUCUUGGCUAUGAUGCUAAAAGAGUGGCCUUAGUGCCCCAUUUGCUCAAAGUUGCCAAAAGACAAGAACCACCCACUUUUCUUCUAGUAGUUUUUGUUUUAUGAAUCUAUUCCAGCACCUUUCAUUAGGAUUUCUUUUGAGUGCUAACCUUUGUUUCUUAACCUUUAAUUUCUUGCUUGUCUUCUUGGAUUUCUUAGUUUUGUCAUAAUUAAAUUCCUUUUACAAAGCCUUUCUUGUUUUUGGACCUUUUUAUUGCUUUUAUCCCUUGUUUCUUCUUGCAAAAUUUCGGCUUUGGUUACUUUGUAUGGUGUAGGUUCUCUUUGUGAGGUGAUCCAAUAUCUUAGAGGUAGCCUUCUAGGUGGUGGAGACCCAAAGGGUGCUUGAAGUCUGGAGUGGUAGCCAAAAAGAAAGGAGAGAAACACCUUGGGAGGUAGCUUUGAUUUGGUUGUAAUUUUUGGCUUUGUAAUCUUUUUUUUUUUUUCUCUUGUAAUUCACAGCCUUGUUAGGUGUCGUGGGGGAGUCUUUGGUACUCAAUCCCAUCUCCUAACAAGAACCCUUAUUUCAUAGUAAAAUUCGUUUUUUUAGUUGGUUUGUUGGAGGAACCGAAGUUCUUCUAACUUAAUCAUUAGGCCGCAUAGCUAGUUUAUUUGCUUUCUUUAAUUGUGAUAGCUUAGUGUGUGUCAACUUUAAUUUCAACUUUAGUUCCCUUUUGAGAAAUUUGGUUAAAGAGUGCCUAAGGUAAACUUUGGCUAGGAAAGGCUUGGUAUUUAAGCAAUUCAUUGUGACUCACCUCCCUUUCCUGGAAGUGAACUUGGGUAUCUUUUGCCUCCUUAAGUCUCUUAAGGAACUUUCUUUGAAAUUUAAGUAUUUUGUUUCUUGCAUUGCAUCUUUUUGAAAACCUUUAAGGAUUUCUAAGACUAAUUCCUUUGAAAUUGGAAGUGACUCUAGUGAGGAUGUAAAACCCACUUUGAAAAAUUUAGCAAAAGAGCUAAAGUCACUUAAAAUUUGCCAAAGGCAAGAAACUCUUCUCAAAGAAAAAGAAAGAAUUGAAAGAGAAGAGUAUCUUGCUAAGUUGGAAGAAGAACUUAGAGUCCUUAAUGAGAAACAACAAAAAGCCCAAGAGGAAAUAAAGAGAAGUAGGAGUCAUACAAGGAGGAGUUCUAAAACUCCAACUCAACUCACACACUAUGAGGUAGAUAGUAGGCUUGCAAACCAAUACUAUCAAUCUCACCCACAUAGAAUUCAUGAUAGAGAGCACACUCCAAGAGAGGUUAGGGUAGCCUCCCCCAUUUCCAUGGUAAAGAAGAUGUUGAGGCAUACUAAUAUUGGGAAAUGAAAGUUGAACAACUCUUUGAGUGUCAUCAAGUGAGUGAGGAGAGAAAGGUCACAUUGGCCACCUUGAGUUUCCAAGGGAAUGCCAUGUAUUGGUGGACCUCCCUUGUGAGAGAGAGAAGACUCUCUAAUUUUCCCUAAGUCACCUAUUGGAAUGACUUGAAAAGUGCCAUGAGAAGAAGGCACAUUCCCACAUACUAUCAUAAGGAGCUAAUGGACAAACUCCAAAGGCUCCAACAAAGAGACAUGAGUAUAGAGUGCUAUAGGAAAAAAAUGGAGCUCUACAUGUUGAGGGUGGGAAUUAGGGAGGAAGAAGAGACCACCAUCUCUAGGUUUCUAAGUGGUCUUAAUCUUGAGAUUAGGGAUAGAGUGGAAUUGUUGCCCUACCAAGACUUAAAUGACUUGGUACAAAUUUGCAUUAAGGUAAAGCAACAACUCUUAAGAAAAGGUUUGAAAGCUUUCCACUCUAACUCUAGUGUUAAGAAAGACUACAAGAGGGAGGGUAAGCAAGUGGUAGAAGAAAACCCCUUUAGAAAUCUAGGGAGGGAGAAGAGAGAAGAGAAAGAAAAAGAGAGGCCAAGGGUGGGAACAUCAUAUCACACUCACACUAGUGAAAUUAAGUGUUUCAAGUGUCUUGGUAGAGGUCACAUUGCAUCACAAUGCCCCACCAAAAAGACAAUGAUCUUAAGGGGUAUUGAUUUAUAUAGUAGCCAAGAUGAGGAAAGUGAGAGUAAGAGUGAGAGAAAUGGUCCAAAGAAAGAAGAAGAAAUCCCAAGUGAGGAUGCCCAUCCUUGUGAAGGAUAACUUCUUAUGAUAAGAAGGGUUCUCCAUAAUCAACCUAGUUCACAAGAGCACACACAAAAAGAUAACAUCUUCCACACUAGAUAUAAAAUCUUAGACAAAACAUGUUCCCUUAUUGUGGAUAGUGGCUCAUGUUCAAAUUGCUGUAGCACUAGGUUGGUUAAAAAGCUUGGAUUAGCUGCUUUUCCUCAUCCUCAAUCUUAUAAACUUCAAUGGAUCAAUGAGGUCAAGGAAUUGGAAGUUAAUCAACAAGUGAUGGUCAUGCUAUCCAUAGGGAAUUAUGAAGAUAGUGUGCUAUGUGAUAUAGUACCUAUGGGUGCUUGUCACAUUUUAUUGGGAAGGCCUUGGCUUUUUGAUAGAGAAUCUCUACAUAAUGGCCACACCAAUAAAAUAACCAUCAGUCACAAUAAAAAGAAGUUUGUACUUCAUCCUCUCACACCUUCUCAAGUGGAAGAAGAUCAAGCACGAAUGACAAAGAAAAUAGAAAAAAAAAAAGUGCAAUAGAAUAAGGUAAAAAGAAAAUAAAAGACACCUUUUGUUCUAAGGGUCAAAGCAUUGUGCACAAGUCUCGUGAAUGCCCCAACAGGAAGAUUAUGAUGUUAAGGGCCAAAAGCUUGAGUAAAAGUGUAAAGGUCUCCUUGCCAUCUUCCUCUAAAAGCAUGGCAAGAAAAGAAACAAAGCAUCAUUGUGUGGAAAAUAAAAUUUUCAAGAAAAAUGAUCCUACUUUCCAAAACCUUAAUCAUUCACUUGAUUUAAGGUGUAUCAUUAUUGGGAGCUACAUCCUUCACAUACUCACUAUUAUAACACUUGUUCUAACUUGUGUUAUAAAAUGGGUUUUUGACCCUGGUGGAAAACUAAGGAAGAAUUGAAGAUUUUGAAGAAAAGGAAGUUGCCUUUAGCCCAUGUUGAAAAUUUGAGGGCAAAUCUUUUUCAAGAGGGAGGGAAUGAUGGCAUACCCCUUGCCAUGACCUAGCAGAUUCCUGAAGAGUUGGAGACAUCUAUGGAAGAUGGACCUAUACUAUUUCUCUUAUGCCAUCUAAAGCCAUCAUGAAGAUUUAGUAGAGUUAGAAUAAUUUUGGGCCUUGUAUUUUGGGCCUAGUAGUCUAGAUUUUAUUUGGGCUUUGUAUUAUGGGCCAAGUAGUCUAGAUUUUAUUUGGGCUUUGUAUUGUGGGCCUUGUGUAUAGGAUUUCAAUUGGGCCUUGUAUUUUGGGCCAAGUAGAAUAAGAUUUUGACCAAACAAGUCAACAAAGGGUUAAGCCCCACAAUUGACUAUGCUUGGAUGUCCAAAAUGGGUGUGUUGACCAAGGGAUCAACAUUUUGGCUAAGCUUGGAAGACAAGGGAGCAAGAUUUCGUCCUAAAGAUGUGGAGGCUUCCCAUUGGAGAGUUUUCCUCCUAGUUAGUGGCCAUGUGACACUCUAGGAAUGAAGAGUUUUUCCAUAGGUAGUGGCCACAUGUCACUCUCUCAUUUUAGAGGAUUUUGGUCACUUGUCUCUCUCUUAUUGGAGAGGAUUUCUCCUUGCUCUCCAAGACAACCAAGGUGGCUCUUUUAGGUUAAAGUUUCAGCCCAUUUUGAGACACCUUAGCCUAUAAAUAGAGUUGUUAUCCAUCAUGUAAUCACCUUGGAAAUUAUAGUAAAGUUAUGCUACCAUUUUGUGCAGACAAGCUCUUCUAUGGUCACCCUAGGCUAGAGCAACCCAACUGGCCUCCUCUAGCCACCUUCCUCCAAGAGUUGGCCCAACCUCUCUUAGAGAACCCUAAAACACUUCAUCCUUCACCAUUAAACACACCAAAACCGUGAGCCUUCCAUCUUCAUCCACCACCAUUUCGCAAACCAUCAUUAAAACCAUGAGCAUCUUGAGUACAUGGCUU